GGUUCAGAACGUCGUGAGACAGUUCGGUCUCUAUCUACUGUGGGCGUUAGAAAUUUGAGUGGAUCUGACUCUAGUACGAGAGGACCGAGUUGGACUGACCGCUGGUGUACCAGUUGUUCCGCCAGGAGCAUUGCUGGGUAGCUACGUCGGGAAGGGAUAAGCGCUGAAAGCAUAUAAGCGCGAAACCCACCACAAGAUGAGAUUUCUUUUAAGGGUCGUGGGAGACUACCACGUUGAUAGGUCAUAGGUGUAAAGGCAGUAAUGU
rnacentral:rRNA from 1 species